rnacentral:lncRNA from 1 species
GGCCUCUCGGGCCCGGGCGGGAGGGGCGGUCGGGAGGACUCGGAGGCGGGAAGUGGCGGACGCCUUCCCGAGGUUCCUCCUCUGCCCGCCCAUGGCCUGAGGCUAGGAUGACCGGAGCUCUAGUUUGUUCCUCGGACGUGACUGCGGAGCUUGUGCUAGCACCAAUCUGUCCCCACCCUCCUCUAGCUGGGCAGAGCACAGCUUACAUGGUGGUACAGGACAGUUCUGGAUGAAAACCAAGAGACCAAGGACUCGGAGUAAAAGAGACUGCAUUUCCAACAAGGAGUAUAUAAUGCAUGGAGAGAGGGACAACCCACAGUGACGAAGCAGAAGUGCAGAGUCCAUCCCACCUUUGUGCGUUUGCUGGGAAGUCACAGAAGAACAUGUCUGCAUCAGUGUUGCCUGGCAUUAUUUGUCCCAUCCACCAGCUGUAGAGUGAAGCUGUGCAGAGUGGAUCCCAACAGUCUGCUUCGAGCUGAGCUGAGAUGUGCUCUGCCAACAGAAGACAAAACUGGGACUCUCCAGGGGAGAGGAGGUUCUCCUCAACAACAAGGGGAUAAGACCUAAAUACAACAACUUAACCAAUGCCUACUGUAGACGUAAAGACCACCCAUAUGGGGGCAAACGGAGGUUAUUGAUCCAAAGCUUGCUACUCCAAAGGAGUCACCCACCUCACAUUUGGCAGAGGCUCUCAGCUAGACAUGUAAGUGGGAAAGUUUUAUAGUGGAAAAUGAGAAAGGCUUCAGAUAUGCCUUGGUUGGAAGU